rnacentral:rRNA from 1 species
UACGAAGGGGGCUAGCGUUGCUCGGAAUGACUGGGCGUAAAGGGCGCGUAGGCGGUGGACGCAGUCAGGCGUGAAAUUCCCGGGCUCAACCUGGGGGCUGCGCUUGAUACACGUCCGCUCGAGUCCGGAAGAGGGUCGUGGAAUUCCCAGUGUAGAGGUGAAAUUCGUAGAUAUUGGGAAGAACACCGGUGGCGAAGGCGGCGACCUGGUCCGGCACUGACGCUGAGGCGCGAAAGCGUGGGGAGCAAACAGG